rnacentral:tRNA from 1 species
GACCAGAUGGUGCAAUUGGUAGACACGCAGUGCUCAGAACGCUGACGUUGGGGGUUCGACUCCCCCUCUGGUCA